rnacentral:rRNA from 1 species
AUCCGGGCUGCGGACAGUGUCUGGUGGGUAGUUUGACUGGGGCGGUCUCCUCCCAAAGCGUAACGGAGGAGCACGAAGGUUGGCUAAUCCUGGUCGGACAUCAGGAGGUUAGUGCAAUGGCAUAAGCCAGCUUGACUGCGAGAGUGACGGCUCGAGCAGGUGCGAAAGCAGGUCAUAGUGAUCCGGUGGUUCUGAAUGGAAGGGCCAUCGCUCAACGGAUAAAAGGUACUCCGGGGAUAACAGGCUGAUACCGCCCAAGAGUUCAUAUCGACGGCGGUGUUUGGCACCUCGAUGUCGGCUCAUCACAUCCUGGGGCUGAAGUAGGUCCCAAGGGUACGGCUGUUCGCCGUUUAAAGUGGUACGCGAGCUGGGUUUAGAACGUCGUGAGACAGUUCGGUCCCUAUCUGCCGUGGGCGCUGGAGAAUUGAGGGGGGUUGCUCCUAGUACGAGAGGACCGGAGUGAACGCACCGCUGGUGUUCGGGUUGUCACGCCAGUGGCACUGCCCGGUAGCUAAGUGCGGAAAAGAUAAGUGCUGAAAGCAUCUAAGCACGAAACUUGCCCCGAGAUGAGUUCUCCCUGGCUCCUCGAGAGCCCUGAAGGGACGUUGAAGACGACGACGUUGAUAGGCCGGGUGUGUAAGCGCAGCGAUGCGUUGAGCUAACCGGUACUAAUGACCCGUGAGGCUUAACCUUACAACGCCAGAGGCGUUUUG